rnacentral:rRNA from 1 species
GACGAACGCUGGCGGCGUGCUUAACACAUGCAAGUCGAACGGAAAGGCCCUGCUUUUGUGGGGUGCUCGAGUGGCGAACGGGUGAGUAACACGUGAGUAACCUGCCCUUGACUUUGGGAUAACUUCAGGAAACUGGGGCUAAUACCGGAUAGGAGCUCCUGCUGCAUGGUGGGGGUUGGAAAGUUUCGGCGGUUGGGGAUGGACUCGCGGCUUAUCAGCUUGUUGGUGGGGUAGUGGCUUACCAAGGCUUUGACGGGUAGCCGGCCUGAGAGGGUGACCGGCCACAUUGGGACUGAGAUACGGCCCAGACUCCUACGGGAGGCAGCAGUGGGGAAUAUUGCACAAUGGGCGGAAGCCUGAUGCAGCAACGCCGCGUGCGGGAUGACGGCCUUCGGGUUGUAAACCGCUUUCGCCUGUGACGAAGCGUGAGUGACGGUAAUGGGUAAAGAAGCACCGGCUAACUACGUGCCAGCAGCCGCGGUGAUACGUAGGGUGCGAGCGUUGUCCGGAUUUAUUGGGCGUAAAGGGCUCGUAGGUGGUUGAUCGCGUCGGAAGUGUAAUCUUGGGGCUUAACCCUGAGCGUGCUUUCGAUACGGGUUGACUUGAGGAAGGUAGGGGAGAAUGGAAUUCCUGGUGGAGCGGUGGAAUGCGCAGAUAUCAGGAGGAACACCAGUGGCGAAGGCGGUUCUCUGGGCCUUUCCUGACGCUGAGGAGCGAAAGCGUGGGGAGCGAACAGGCUUAGAUACCCUGGUAGUCCACGCUGUAAACGGUGGGUACUAGGUGUGGGGUCCAUUCCACGGGUUCCGUGCCGUAGCUAACGCUUUAAGUACCCCGCCUGGGGAGUACGGCCGCAAGGCUAAAACUCAAAGGAAUUGACGGGGCCCCGCACAAGCGGCGGAGCAUGCGGAUUAAUUCGAUGCAACGCGUAGAACCUUACCUGGGUUUGACAUGGAUCGGGAGUGCUCAGAGAUGGGUGUGCCUCUUUUGGGGUCGGUUCACAGGUGGUGCAUGGCUGUCGUCAGCUCGUGUCGUGAGAUGUUGGGUUAAGUCCCGCAACGAGCGCAACCCUUGUUCACUGUUGCCAGCACGUUAUGGUGGGGACUCAGUGGAGACCGCCGGGGUCAACUCGGAGGAAGGUGGGGAUGACGUCAAGUCAUCAUGCCCCUUAUGUCCAGGGCUUCACGCAUGCUACAAUGGCUGAUACAGAGAGUGGCGAGCCUGUGAGGGUGAGCGUAUCUCGGAAAGCCGGUCUCAGUUCGGAUUGGGGUCUGCAACUCGACCUCAUGAAGUCGGAGUCGCUAGUAAUCGCAGAUCAGCAACGCUGCGGUGAAUACGUUCCCGGG